AUUGAGAUUUGGAUUUGGGACACAUAAAUGCACACCCGAGUUUAAGAAGGUAAAUUAUUAAACAGCAUGCCUAAAGCAACUACGCACUUUCAAGUUCGAGGGUCAAGGAAAAUUCAACUAAUGGCACACCUUGUUUCUACUUUCAAAUGAUUGUACUCAACUAAACCAAACUACGGAUAUUCAUAAUUAUUUUCCUAAAUUUGAGAUUAUUGCGAAGCAUUAAUAAAAUUACUACAAAAAGUUAAAGACAACGUUAGAAAUUAAUUCGACGAAAUGAUGAAUCUAGUGGUAGGAACUUGUUAGGUUAUACCGAUACAGAAAACAAAUUUUACAAAACUAAACCUUAGGACCUAAAUACAUUACUGUUACCAUCAAUUAUCCUCAAUUUUUCAAGUUUAAUAUAUUUCUUUGAAAUUUUCCUUUUAGAAUCUUACUCAACAACAGAGACCAAUACACUUAACAAUAAGAAUUAAUAACUGAGAAAUUAUGUGAUAAAAAAAUAACAGAUUCAAGCAACAGACGUAUUAAUACAUAUAAUUUAAAUGGAACAAUAAACAAAUAAAGAAAAUAAGCUAAAAAGAUUGGACAUAUUAAUACGCAUAUCUCCUUCUCAAUUCACGAUCUUUAUAACCACUUUAUAAGGAGAUUGACGCUUUUUCCUUGCUGGGUUACCAAUCAUCAGUACUUUAGAGGAAUUUUGUAUAAAUACAGCAAUGGAACAAUAAACAAAAAAUGGAAUUUUAUAUAAACAAAGCUCAGAAACAGAUUAAACAUUAAAUGUAAAAAUAAAUAACACAGAAAAUUUAAAAAUAAAACCUCAAUCGUUUUUAUUUAUGAAGCUCCAAUCGAUCCCAAAAAGCCAACGAGAAACAGCAACAAAAUUCGAACGGCGGAACCGGAACCCGCAAUUUCACCUCAAAUUCUCAAAACCUUCAAUUUCCUUUUUUUCCGAUUUCUGUCCAAACACUUCUCCAAUUUUUUUUUAUUGUUUUCUGGUAGUUCAAAGAAACAGGGAAAGAAAAAUGAGGGAGGAAGCCAUAGGGAAGUAGCAGUAGUGACAAUCAAGCCAUUUGGUUGACUUAGUCUUCAUUUUUCCUAAAAUAAAUUCGAACUCUACUGUUUGAGGUGUGUGCGUGUGUGGAUUGCGACAUUGAUUUUCAGUCCCCUCCUCUGAUGCCUAGCUUCUGAUUUUAGGUGUUAGUCUCUUUUCAGGUUAGCUUAUUUUUGGGGAUUUUCGUUUUGCCAAAAUCUGAUGCAAAACGGCGG
rnacentral:lncRNA from 1 species